rnacentral:lncRNA from 1 species
UUCGAUACGAAAUCCUAUAUGUAUCUCUUAAAGACGAUAUUAUAAUUUUAUAUUUUUCUUAAAUUACUCCUUUUAUUUAAUAUGCUUUCUAUAUGAAAGAGAAUUUAUAUAAAAACAUAAUUCACAAUUUAAAUAUGAUUCUCUAGCAUCAAUUAUUUUUAAGUUUCAACAAGUUAAUACAGUGACACAUAAUUCACCAUAUGUUACCAUGAUAACUAAUUAUUUGUAAAUAGUUACUAGCUAAUACUGAGCUAUUAAAUUAAUAAGUAUUGUAUCUCGUAAACAUGAUAAAAAUAAUUAUAAAAAAAUUAUGGACCAUAUUAUAUAGUAAAGACGUAACAAAAGUUAAUAAGUAAACUUUUUAAAAUGAAAGAUUUAUUUAAAAUUAACUAUCAUAGCAGUCUUAGUUAGGGGUGUCAAUGGAUAUUUAAAAACCGACUAAACCGACCGCACCGUACCGUACCGAACCGAAUUUAAGGUUUCUUUUAUUGAAACCGUAGGUUUUUAUAUAAAUCUAUAACCGUACCGAUAAUUAGGGUAGGUUUUUUAUUUUAUGAAAAUAAACCGAAAAAAUACCGAACCGUACCGAAUAAAUUUACAAUGUGAAUAAUAUAUUUAUACAGUAAGUUUAAAAUUAAUAAAGCAUUAAAUUUUUCUUGGGCAUUUGAAUUAUGAAACAGUUACAAGCCAACACGUAAUUAAACUUAAAAUCCUCCAAACCUAUUUUGAUACUCCUAUUGAAACUAAAUUAUUUCUAGCAUAUUUACUAGCAAGACACAAGGUAUUGUGUCGAGUAUGAGUAGCAAUCUAUAAUGUAUUAAACAUGUUUCCUUUCGUAUGAUUUUCAUGUAUCUUCUUGAAUAUUUAAUCUUCUAUAAACAUUAUUCUUGAAUCCCAAUUUAGUUAAUAUUUUUUUCACUCGUGUGAUUUAUAUUAUUUUUGUAUUUGCGUAGUUUCUUUUAUGAUGAUGUAGAAUAGUUGAUUGAUCUAUACUCUAGCCACCUUUCAUAUUUUCUUAAUUCUAUCACCUUUUAAACUAUAAAAAUAUCUAGAGAACUUUGCUAAGUCCUAAAAAAGUAUGUAUGUUAUUGCAUUCUACUUCUACUAGUGACUUUUACAUGACAUUAAAAAAAUUACCGAAAAUUUACCGAACCGUACCGAUACCAAUACCGAAGAGAAACCGACAUGAUUGGGACGGNNNNNNNNNNNNNNNNNNNNNNNNNUCUAUACUCUAGCCACCUUUCAUAUUUCUUAAUUCUAUCACCUUUUAAACUAUAAAAAUAUCUAGNGAAACUUUGCUAAGUCCUAAAAAAGUAUGUAUGUUAUUGCAUUCUACUUCUACUAGUGACUUUUACAUGACAUUAAAAAAAUUACCGAAAAUUUACCGAACCGUACCGAUACCAAUACCGAAGAGAAACCGACAUGAUUGGGACGGUUUCGAAAAGUCCAAUUUUGGUUAUACAUAAUAGAAUAACCGAAAAAAUGGUAUGGUAUAAAUUUUAUAAAAUAACCAGUCGAACCGAUCCAUUGACACCCCUAGUCUUAGUGGAUAGUGUGUAAUAAUUUUUAUUUUAAUUAUGACAUAAAAUACUCUCAACUUAAUGAUUUAUGAUUAAGAAAAAAGUAAUUUUAAAUAGUCAACGAUUUAUUAAGAAAAUUUGAGGAUUUACAAGGUUAAUUACAUACAAUUGCAUAAAGUUCUAUUAGGCGAGCCCAGUACGCUGGGCGUUGGGCGUGUCCGAAGCGUAAGCCCCGAUGGCCGAGGCGUAAGUCUCGCGGAACUAAGCCCCACACAUAAGCCCAGGGGCGUUUUACGAGUGCUCCGCCCCGGGGCGAGUCCCGGACGAGUCCCAAUUCUGUCUUUUAAAACAGAGGAUUGUACUUCCCCUAGCACUUCUCAAAACUUUAGAAGUAGAUUGACACAAGAACGAACCAUCGGAAAUUGGACACCAAAUAAGAAUAUCUUUCCCUUUAGAUCCAAGCUUAAUGCCAGAGAUUUUGGUUAAGACAUGUUGAGGGAGUUUAUCCUGGAGUUCUAAACCUCCACAAAUUUUUAGCUGCAAAAAUGAGGGAGAUAUCAUGGAUAUACCUAAAGCUUGCACCUCCUUCCUCAUGAGAAAAGCAAAAUGAUGACCAAGAGAACCAAAUAUGGCAAAAGGAUUCAUCUAGUUGCAAGGAGAUAGUCCUAUGGGCAGUCACAUGUAUGGAAGGGAUUAAUGGAAGUGAAGCCUGGAGUUGAGAAAUUCAUUUCCUGGAACGUGAAAGAAGGAAAAAUUGCUUUCUAGUGGGAUAACUAGUCAGGACUAGGGGCAUUGGCAAAACAAAAGAUACUAUGCACUGUGAUGAUGUGAUAACCUGAUAGGUCAUCUAGAGUUUUAAACCUCAAUUUCGUAUUUUGAAACCUCAAAUAUCUCAUUUUGGCCUUCCUCGAUUUUGCGUGCACAACCUGUGUCUUUUUCCGGAAGGCUUUUAUGUUAAAAAUUGAUAAAAUGUGAAUUUAUUUGUGCCUUAAAAUACAUUUGAGUUGACUUCGGUCAAUGUUUUGAGCAAACAGAUCCGGAUACAUGUUUUGACAGUCCCGAUAUGUCCUUAUCGUGAUUUGGGACCUGGGUGUUUGCCCAUAAUUGAAUUCGGAGGUCCCUAGCUCGGGUUAUCGCAUUUUGUCAAAAAUUUGAAGUUAAAAGGUUUAAUGAGUUCAAAGAUUUGACCAAAGUUUGACUUUAUUGCUGAUGUGCCUGAAUUUUGGUUCCGGAGCUUGGUAUAGGUUCAUUACUAUAUUUAUGCUUGUCUGUAAAAUUUGGUGAAAAACGGAGUUGGUUUGACGUGAUUCGGGCGUCCGAGUGCUAAAAUAGAAAUUCUAAAGUCUCAUUGAAAAAUUCAUUUGAUUUGGUAUCCGAAUCAUAGUUCUAGAUGUCAUUUUAGCGAUUUGAUCAUGCGGCCGAAUUCGCAUGAUGUUUUUGGACUCGUGUGCAUGUUUGGUUUGGAGCCCCGAAGGCUCGGGUGAGUUUCGGAUACGCUACGAAGUGAGUUUGGACUUAGAUAGAUAGGUGAUGCAUUGAGUUUCUGGUGUCUGCUGCAAAUCUCGCAUUUGCGAGGUCUGGCUCGAAAUUGCGAGCCUUGCAUUUUCGAAGCAAUCAUCGCAUUUGCGAGCAUGGGCUGGGGGAUCAGUUUUCGCAAUUGCGAGUACUCUGCCGCAAUUGCGAAAGAGGCAUGUUUGCAUCUGCGACCAAAUUGUUCGCAUUUGCGAUAGGGAUUGGGGGGAAGCUUGUUCACAUUUGCGGUAGGGCCUAGUUUGCAUUUGCGAACAAAUCAUCGCAAAUGCGAUGAUAGCAAAAAUAUAGGGACUUCGAAUUUGAGAAAGAAAUCUCGCAUUUGCGGGGUUCGCAAUUGCAAACAAAUCAUCGCAAAUGCGAUGAUAGCAGAAAUAUGGGGACUUCGAAUUUGCGAAAGAAAUCUCGCAUUUGCGGGGUUCGCAAUAUUUUCGCCUGGUAAAAAGCUGAGUUAGACGAGAUUUUCCUCAUUCUUUCAAAUUUUCAAACCUAGAAACCUUAGAGGCGAUUUUCCAAGAGAUCUUCUUACCCAAUUAUUUGGUGUAAGUGAUUCUAACCUAUUUUCUUUCAAUUACCCAUUACAUUCCAUAAGACUUUAACCAAAAAUCUAGGAUUUUCAUUGUAGAAAUUGGGGAUUUGGGUAGAAUUAAGAAUUUUUGUAAAAUUGGAAUUUACACUUCAAAUUGUGGUCGGAUUUCGAAACAAAUUAUAUAAUCAGGCUCGGGGGUGAAUGAGUAAUCGGGUUUUGGUUCAAAUUUCGGGUUUGGACCAAGCGAGCCUGGGAGUUGACUUUUAUUGACUUUUUUAAUAAUGACCUAAAUUGAAUCUUUUACAUUCAUAGCUUUGGUUGGUUCGGAGGGUUGUUCGAAAGGCAAAGCCGUGAUUUAGCUUUAAGUUGACUUUUGGAGCGAGGAAAGUGUCGUGGUUAACCUUGACUGAGGGAUUUGGACUUGUUUGCCUAUUUGCUACAUCUUUAAUGGUUGGGUACAACAUAUAUGUGAGGGGACAAGUACUUAUGCGUUGUUUUUGGGUUAAAGCAUGCGGGUGGGACUUGUUAUUUGUAAUUUACUUCCUUCUUUGAUCAUGAUAUCCAUGCUUAGACUAGUUUAUUACUAAAUUGAUCGUUCCAUUGUUGACGUAAGACUCGUUCUUGCUUAUUCUAUCUCCCUAUUGUUAUAUGUUCAUUGUUACAUUGUAAGGGAAAGUGGUAAAGCACAAACGGUGAUGUCGCGUCGAGUGUUGUUGCAAUUAUUGAUUAAUACAUAGCGAGGAAGGGAAUUAAAGCACGAAGGGUGAUGUCGUGUUGUAUAUAUUGUUUCAUGAUGAAAUUGAGCGAAAAGCACGAAGGGUGAUGUCGUGGCAUAUUUAUCAUUUUAUGGAGAGAUUAAGAGUAAAACACGAAUGGUGAUGUCGUGCCAUUAUUACUGUUUCAUGGUGAGGCUGAG